ACUCUAUUAUUAUAUUUUAGUAUAUUUAAUUGCAAAUUAAAAGGUUUAAGAGUUUU
rnacentral:tRNA from 1 species